CACGAACGCUGGCGGCGUGCUUAACACACGCAAGUCGAACGGUAAGGCCCUUCGGGGUACACGAGUGGCGAACGGGUGAGUAACACGUGGGUGAUCUGCCCUGCACUUCGGGAUAAGCCUGGGAAACUGGGUCUAAUACCGGAUAGGACCACUGCCUGCAUGGGUGGUGGUGGAAAGCUUUUGCGGUGUGGGAUGGGCCCGCGGCCUAUCAGCUUGUUGGUGGGGUGAUGGCCUACCAAGGCGACGACGGGUAGCCGGCCUGAGAGGGUGACCGGCCACACUGGGACUGAGAUACGGCCCAGACUCCUACGGGAGGCAGCAGUGGGGAAUAUUGCACAAUGGGCGCAAGCCUGAUGCAGCGACGCCGCGUGAGGGAUGACGGCCUUCGGGUUGUAAACCUCUUUCAGCACCGACGAAGCGCAAGUGACGGUAGGUGCAGAAGAAGGACCGGCCAACUACGUGCCAGCCGCCGCGGUAA
rnacentral:rRNA from 1 species